CAAAAACUACGAAAUGCUAUAAAAACAUAAAAUGGAUCUCUUGUGUUGUUUAUACAAAGUAAUCUGAUUGCUCUUGUUGAUACGAAAGACUACUAGCUCACUAUAUGGUUGUCUUUCUUAGUUUCUAAUACAAAUUAGAAAUUCUCUUAAGAUUGAGAAAAAUUAAAAUUAAAAAAAAAAACACUCAUAUGCAUGGUGGCAUGGGAAAGCUAUCCAAUAGAAUCGUUUCAUGUUACUUCGUCCCAGCACGUCCCAAAUCAAAAAAACACUAAUGCAAUCUUUGUUUUAAACAAUUUAAAACCUGCAAAUUAAGUUGAUCUAAUGCCAAC
rnacentral:lncRNA from 1 species